GAUGAAGAACGUAGUGAAAUGCGAUAAGUAAUGUGAAUUGCAGAAUUCCGUGAAUCAUCGAAUCUUUGAACGCACAUUGCGCCCCCUGGUAUUCCGGGGGGCAUGCCUGUCCGAGCGUCAUUGCAACCCUCAAGCGCGGCUUGUGUGUUGGGCUUCGUCCCCCCGUGGACGUGCCCGAAAGGCAGUGGCGGCGUCCCGAAUGGUGCCCGAGCGUAUGGGAACUCUCUUCCGCUCGAACCGGCCCAUUCGGCGCUGGUCGAACCCCAAUUUUUUUUUACCGGUUGACCUCGGAUCAGGUAGGGAUACCCGCUGAACUUAAGCAUAUCAAUAAGCGGAGGA
rnacentral:misc_RNA from 1 species